AACGAACGCUGGCGGCACGCCUAACACAUGCAAGUCGAACGAGACCUUCGGGUCUAGUGGCGCACGGGUGCGUAACGCGUGGGAACCUGCCCUUAGGUUCGGAAUAACUCCCCGAAAGGGGUGCUAAUACCGGAUAAUGUCUUCGGACCAAAGAUUUAUCGCCUUUGGAUGGGCCCGCGUUGGAUUAGCUAGUUGGUAGGGUAAAAGCCUACCAAGGCGACGAUCCAUAGCUGGUCUGAGAGGAUGAUCAGCCACACUGGGACUGAGACACGGCCCAGACUCCUACGGGAGGCAGCAGUGGGGAAUAUUGGACAAUGGGCGAAAGCCUGAUCCAGCAAUGCCGCGUGAGUGAUGAAGGCCUUAGGGUUGUAAAGCUCUUUUACCCGGGAUGAUAAUGACAGUACCGUGAGAAUAAGCUCCGGCUAACUCCGUG
rnacentral:rRNA from 1 species